GACGAACGCUGGCGGCGUGCCUAAUACAUGCAAGUCGAGCGGACGAAUCGAAAGCUUGCUUUUGAUUCGUUAGCGGCGGACGGGUGAGUAACACGUGGGCAACCUGCCCUGUAGACGGGGAUAACAACGAGAAAUCGGUGCUAAUACCGGAUAACACGAAAUGUCGCAUGACGUUUCGUUGAAUGACGGCGCAAGCUGUCGCUACAGGAUGGGCCCGCGGCGCAUUAGCUAGUUGGUGGGGUAACGGCUCACCAAGGCGACGAUGCGUAGCCGACCUGAGAGGGUGAUCGGCCACACUGGGACUGAGACACGGCCCAGACUCCUACGGGAGGCAGCAGUAGGGAAUCUUCCGCAAUGGACGAAAGUCUGACGGAGCAACGCCGCGUGAGCGAAGAAGGCCUUCGGGUCGUAAAGCUCUGUUGUUAGGGAAGAACAAGUAACGCAGUAACUGGCGUUACCGUGACGGUACCUAACGAGAAAGCCACGGCUAACUACGUG
rnacentral:rRNA from 1 species